rnacentral:rRNA from 1 species
UACGUAGGGUGCAAGCGUUGUCCGGAAUUAUUGGGCGUAAAGAGCUCGUAGGCGGUUUGUCGCGUCUGCUGUGAAAACCCGAGGCUCAACCUCGGGCCUGCAGUGGGUACGGGCAGACUAGAGUGCGGUAGGGGAGAUUGGAAUUCCUGGUGUAGCGGUGGAAUGCGCAGAUAUCAGGAGGAACACCAAUAGCGAAGGCAGCUCGCUGGGACGUUACUGACACUGAGGCGCGAAAGCGUGGGGAGCGAACAGGG